rnacentral:tRNA from 1 species
GCCUCGUUAGCGCAGUAGGCAGCGCGUCAGUCUCAUAAUCGAAUUUAGAAAUCUGAAGGUCAUGAGUUCGAUCCUCACACGGGGCA